rnacentral:ncRNA from 1 species
GUAAAGCGUAAAUAAUCAGCAAACAGAAUAAAGUUUACGAUAAACCCUUGCCAUUCUGAAGCAGCUCCCUAUAAUGCGCAUCCAUCGACACGGCGCUGUGAGCAACUUCACAGAGUGGCCGGGGAGAGCAGAGAAAAUUAACGAAUUAAGUUGUUGACUCUGUAGCGGGAAAGCGUAAUAUGCA